UAAAUAAGAAGUGGACAUGAUAAUAUUAAUACAAAUUCUUGUACCUCAUUGUUUUCAAAUUUUCACUAUCAAUUUUUAUUGAUAAAAUUUUUGAUUUGCGUUAGAAAAAAUUCAAGUGGAAAUCUGUACCAAAAUCGUCAUUGGUUUAACUUUAUUACAGUGAAGUUUUUAAGGAGGAAGAGCAAUUUACAGAAAGAAGAAAAAUUUCAUCCUGAUGUUUGACCAUUGUAGUUCCUUAGCUUGGUAAAAGUAAAAGUUUGUCGGGAAGUGAACUGUUUGGUUACAGAUAGGAAAAAAUAAACAAAAUUCAUCUUUUGUUUAUGCUCACUAGAAUAAAGGUAUACAAUAUCUAUGAGUAGAAAAGAAAGACACGGAUAAUCUGCACCUGGAACAGGAGACAAUUUCAAGCUGCAAUGAAUAUUUACAUAUUAUGGGAUUAAAACUAACGAGUAUCGAGUAUAUAACGAAUGUAAUAAAACUAAUCAUAGAUGAUAUCGAAAGACAACAACUAGUAUGGGCACGGGCAUGUAAGACAGAGUAAGGAAGAAUCCCCAAAAAAGUGUUAGAAUUGAGCCACACGGAAAAACGAAGACCAGCAACCAAAUGGAUGAACCUUUCAAAAAUGACACCAUAAAAAAGAGGACACUUAAAGGACUAUAAAAGAGAAAAAGACAUAUUUAGACGAAAAAUAACUGUAAACGAGGUAUUAAGAAGGUACAGAUUGCCAUGAUGGUCGCCAACAUCCGAAACGGAUAGACACUACAAGAAGAAGAAUUAAGAAGGUCCUAAUUGGUUUAAAAACAUUGAAUAAGAAAAGGCUUCUUUUCGCCCUUUUUUAUUUAUUGCCAUUUUCCAGCCAAAAUAAUCAUUUUACAAACAUUUUUAGCCAAUCGUAUAUUACAGAAAAUUCAAUGAUCGCUCUUUUAUUCCAACACAAGUUUGCUCCAGAAUGCCACCAGAAUGCCAAGUGUUGCUACGCCGCCUGCAGCAAAAUAAUUUCUACAUACCUUCAUAAAACCUCUUGAGUAACUUGUUACCAAGAAAUCCCGGGUAGAAUGCAUUCAAAAGGUGGCUUUACUUAACUAAUAGAAAUUUCAAAGAAAUUUCCUCCGAACCCCUCGUCGGCCUAGCAGUUAAAAUUUGAAUGCAGUUAGCAUCAACUAUUUGGGAUCCAGCGAAUAUUGACGAUUUUAUUAGUUUUAGAGUUACAACUCUCGCGUAUUUGUGUUAUAAGUAAGAAAUUAGAAUCCACCUAGAGUGGACGCUGCGUUUAUUAGUUUUAGAGUUACAACUCCCGCUUAUUUGUGAAAACGGUAAUCGUUUACGUAGUUAUCCACGAGUUUGGACGCGAUUGAUAGUUAUUGUGUACCUCUUCAAAGAAAACAUCCUUAGUGCAUGUCCCAGUUAGUGAUCUUUAAACUGUAACAGUGCUAUUGUGUUUGUGUUUCGCGAACUAGUAUGAAAUGGACAUUGAAAUCGGCGGUUGAAAUAUAAGAACUUUAUGAAAGAACUUUGACCAGAUCUUAAUUUAGUAAUAUGUAAUAACAAAAUUAGUCAUUAAAUUAUAUAUUCGUUAA